UCCAACUUCUUUGCCUUCAAGUGUCAAUUGGCUCCUCUCAGUCACAGCUGUACAAAUCACAGGACUUUUAUUGGCAUAAGACAUAUAUAUUAUUCAUCUAUUCAGCUUCAUCUGAAGGAAAUCCAAUAAAGACACAAUUUUCUUUCCAAUGAAAUAUUCAAAGAUGCUUUUUCCCCACAAGAAACUGGGCAGAAAACUCCAUCCAUGAUCUAUGUUCUCUCUCUCUUAAAAAAAAAAAAAAAAUGAAGAUGUAAAUGAAGAGGGAAGGACUGACGGAGAAAGGGACGAAGGACUCAGGUUUGCAGAGAGGGUUAACACGGCAAGGAGAAGGGUGCAUACACCUGUGAAGCAAGUUCAAGAGAAGAAAGCAUGAGAGGGGAUGCUGAAGGAGCGGCUUCUCUACAGGACACGCUGGACAGUGGCAGGGGAGGGAAAAGAGAUGCCGAACUGCAACGGCCCUCAGCGUUUGCCAGAAACUUCUGCUCAGACGUGGCAUACUGACUUCUCUCACUCCAUUGGCCAAAAGCAAAUCACAUGGCUCAGCAUGAUACCAAUGGGACCCAGAGGUAGACUCCUCCCACAGAGAAGCACUGUCAAUUAUAUGGCUAUCCACAGACGUGUAUAAACUAUUAAAAGGUACAGUAAAAUAUCAACAAUAACGCCAUAUUCCACAGAUACCAUGUUCUCUGCUUUUGGUAAUCAACAGGUACAAAUUUUUUUGUUUGUUUCCGAUAAACAUAUUGACACUUUUUAUCAUUUACAUAAAUUAUUUCUUUCAGAGGGGCACGCCACUGUUAAAAGUAUUUAAAUAGCCCCUGAAGUUCCCAGAAGGUUCCUGUCCUUUUCUGAGGGAAAUGCAAUAAAUAAUAAACAAUCAGGACCUGUUUUAAUAUUCUAUGAUUCUUUCAAAAAUGAUAGCGACACCUAACUGAUUUAAAUAUAUGCUCUUGGAUCCACAGAUGUUAGUUGUGUAAUAAUGAGGCUUUAAAAGAAACAAAUGGCAUGAGUGCCCAGACUGGGUGCAUUUUGUUAAACAAUGGUUUGCAAUUUUCCCAUUUUGGGUGUUGAAGUCUAACUGAAGGGAAAUUCAAUUGGAAGUACCUAUGCUUGAUUUAAUCCUGUUGUCUCCAUAUUGAAAUUCUUAAUAUUUUUGAACAAACUGAUCUGCAUUUUUGUUUUGCACUGGGCUCCGCAAAUCACAUAGCCAGUCCUGCUCAGAAUAGAUGUUCCCUCCCCUGGAACAAUUUCUCUGUGUCCCCUUCAAUAAAGCCAAGCACCUCUCCUAGGUGCAUUCUUAAGGCCCUGUGAUUAUGGCCCUUUAAGAACAAUGACUAAUUCAUCAUUGUAUUCCAGCAUCCACUACCAGAAAAAUAUUUGAUGAAUAAAUGAUUACCAGACAGUGGGGAUACUUUUCUUAAAAUUCCCAAUUUUGUGAAAUUGUAUUCUCCUGCAGAAAAGAAACCACUCGAUCCUGCCAUUGUGUUCUCCCUGUGCUUUUCGCCAGAUAGUGCCAAGUAAACUGGUAUAGGCAGAGGGCCAUCUUAUGAAUCUGCAAACUUUUGCGAGUUUCUCCAGCCAGAACCUCCCAUUACCAGGAUCUGUCCCUCAGAUUCACUUUAUUUUGCUCCUACGCAAUACACAUAUGCAGUCAUUCACUGAUGUUUAAUACUUGAAGCUUCAGGUUCUGCCAAAAGCACGGAAAUAGAGGAAAAUGCAAAUUACCACACUCCAGGAAAAGGAAAAAUCAGAGAUACAGAGUACAUGUAUGCAAUCCUACACGAGAAUUAAGGAGUCAAUUUUCAACUAGUAAGGUCAUUCUGAUGCACGACAAAAGAAGGGAAUAAAUUCUCACUUUUUCACAUUCCUGCCUAUAGUCAGUCUUUGACUGAACUUCAUUUGAUGAUAAUUUGUAUUCUUGCCUGCAAAUUGGACUAUUAAAUCCUACCUCAGGGGGUUGUGAUGCAGGUAGCCUGAGACCAUGUAACUAAAGGCCUCACAUGGUGUUGGGCACAGAGCAGGUGUGGAGUGGAUAUCGGGUCUCCCCUCCUAUUUGCUCACCACAUACCUGUCUGAUGUCUGUUAGGUGCCAGGCUCUGUGUCUUACAAACUGUAGGGGAGAUGUGUGAACUUGCCCUCAACAAAUAUGUGGUCCAGGACUAACCAGGUACCUGUCUUGGUCAAAAUAACCAAAUGAUUACCAAAUUCCUGAUUUUAUGUAGCUAAGUAAUGACUAAAUGCAGAAUAAUCUCCGACAAACUAUGAAAGGGCCUACAUCUGUCUAUAUAGUCUUUUUCCCAGUUUUUUUCCCCAGUUUUAUUGAGAAAUAAUUGACAUAUAUCUCUGUGUCAUACAGUGGCGUUAGCUAUAGUCAUCAUGUUGUACAUUCCAUUCCUAGUAUUUAUUUAUCUUAUAACUGGAAGUUUGUACCUUUGACAACCUUCCUUCCAUUCCCCCUCCCCCUAAGCUCCACCUCAGGUGGAUCUCUUUUUCUAGGAGUUUUGAGUUUUGUUGUUGUGUGUGUAUGGUUUUUUCAGAGUCCAUAUAUAAAUCAGAUCAUACGAUAUUUGUCUUUCUCUGUCUGACUUAUUUCACUUAGCGUAAUGCUUUCAAGGUUCAUACAUGUUGUUGCAA